rnacentral:rRNA from 1 species
AUCAUUAACUGAAUCCAUAGGUUAAUGAGGCGAACCGGGGGAACUGAAACAUCUAAGUACCCCGAGGAAAAGAAAUCAACCGAGAUUCCCCCAGUAGCGGCGAGCGAACGGGGAGGAGCCCAGAGCCUGAAUCAGCAUGUGUGUUAGUGGAAGCGUCUGGAAAGGCGCGCGAUACAGGGUGACAGCCCCGUACACAAAAGCGCAUGUGCUGUGAGCUCGAUGAGUAGGGCGGGACACGUGGUAUCCUGUCUGAAUAUGGGGGGACCAUCCUCCAAGGCUAAAUACUCCUGACUGACCGAUAGUGAACCAGUACCGUGAGGGAAAGGCGAAAAGAACCCCGGCGAGGGGAGUGAAAAAGAACCUGAAACCGUGUACGUACAAGCAGUGGGAGCACCCUUUGGGGUGUGACUGCGUACCUUUUGUAUAAUGGGUCAGCGACUUAUAUUCUGUAGCAAGGUUAACCGUAUAGGGGAGCCGGAGGGAAACC